GAUGAACGCUGGCGGCGUGCCUAAUACAUGCAAGUCGAGCGAACGGACGAUAAGCUUGCUUCUCUGAUGUUAGCGGCGGACGGGUGAGUAACACGUGGAUAACCUACCUAUAAGACUGGGAUAACUUCGGGAAACCGUAGCUAAUACCGGAUAAUAUUUUGAACCGCAUGUUUCAACAGUGAAAGACGGUCUUGCUGUCACUUAUAGAUUGAACCGCGCUGCAUUAGCUAGUUGGUAAGGUAACUGCUUACCAAGGCAACGAUGCAUAGCCGACCUGAGAGGGGGAUCGGCCACACUGGAACGGGAACAGGGUCCAGACUCCUACGGGAGGCAGCAGUAGGGAACCUUACGCAAUGGGGGAAAGCAUGAGGGAGCAACGCGGGGGGAGGAAUCAGGGACUCCGGAUGGUAAAACUCUGUUAUCAGGAAAGAAAAUAUGUGUAAGUAACAGUGAAAAUAUUGAGGGACCCAAAUAAGAAAGCAGCGGUAAAUUCCGU
rnacentral:rRNA from 1 species